rnacentral:rRNA from 1 species
CCUACGGGAGGCAGCAGCAAGGAAUAUUGGUCAAUGGAGGCAACUCUGAACCAGCCAUGCCGCGUGCAGGAAGAAGGCCCUAUGGGUCGUAAACUGCUUUUGUACCAGAGAAAACCCGAGUACGUGUACUCGGUUGAUAGUAUGGUAAGAAUAAGCAUCGGCUAACUUCGUGCCAGCAGCCGCGGUAAGACGAAGGAUGCAAGCGUUAUCCGGAUUCAUUGGGUUUAAAGGGUGCGUAGGCGGACUGAUAAGUCAGUGGUGAAAUCUCUCGGCUUAACCGAGAAACUGCCAUUGAUACUGUUAGUCUAGAGUAUAGAUGACGUUGGCGGAAUAUGACAUGUAGUGGUGAAAUACUUAGAUAUGUCAUAGAACACCGAUUGCGAAGGCAGCUAACGAAACUAUAACUGACGCUGAGGCACGAAAGUGCGGGGAUCAAACAGGAUUAGAUACCCUGGUAGUCCGCACCGUAAACGGCGAUUACUCGUUGUUGGCAAUAUGACCGUCAGCGACCAAGCGAAAGCGAUAAGAAUCCACCUGGGGAGUACGCCGGCAACGGUGAAACUCAAAANAGAGUAGAGNGNGAGAGNGCGAGGACGACGACGAGGGAGGAGG